GGACAUUUUGAAGUGUGAGCUCUCUGUGGAAGGCAAGCAUACGGAACUCCGUCUGGUAUUUCUUCCUGGAAACAAAUAGAUGAAUGCGGUAGCAAUCCAAAGUCUGUGCUCCUGUGCCCUUCUAAUAGAAGAAAUCACAAAAAUGUAGAGAAAAGUAGAAACCUACUCUCAGAAAACCCAUUGAAGUCCCUGUUUUACAACUAACAUAAUGGGCGUGUGGAAAUGCCUCUCCAUCCACCAGGGGGCAGAAACGAACCCUUUGAUUGGCCAGAGAUCUUUGGACUUCAACUUUGAUUUGGAAUAGUUGUAAUUUGCAUAGCCUUUUCACUCUCAGACAUCACUCUUUCUGUCACUAGGAACAUAACCAUAUAGACUUUUCAAAGAAACCUCUUAAUUCUGUGUGAAACUCUAAACUUCACUCUACCAAUAAACUUCCCCACAUUCACACUAGAGAGAUGUGAUGGGAAUGCUGGGUCUUACAUAUGGUGGUCUUCAUAUUUUCGUGGAUUUGUCUUUUGAGGCAUGGAGUGCCUGACCUUUGCGUAUGCAAGAUUCGCUAGCAUGUAAACUCUGUCACUGUCUCCCAAGAACACAGAAACAGGGCUAUUAAUAAUUUUAAUGCUUACUGUUUUGUGUAGCUUUUUUUGCAGAAACUGUCUAUUAAAAAGUCAAAUUUG
ensembl:lncRNA LINC01831 long intergenic non-protein coding RNA 1831